AGCGAACGCUGGCGGCAGGCCUAACACAUGCAAGUCGAACGAACUCUUCGGAGUUAGUGGCGGACGGGUGAGUAACACGUGGGAACGUGCCUUUUGGUUCGGAAUAACUCAGGGAAACUUGUGCUAAUACCGAAUGUGCCCUUCGGGGGAAAGAUUUAUCGCCAUUAGAGCGGCCCGCGUCUGAUUAGCUAGUUGGUGAGGUAACGGCUCACCAAGGCGACGAUCAGUAGCUGGUCUGAGAGGAUGACCAGCCACACUGGGACUGAGACACGGCCCAGACUCCUACGGGAGGCAGCAGUGGGGAAUCUUGCGCAAUGGGCGAAAGCCUGACGCAGCCAUGCCGCGUGAAUGAUGAAGGUCUUAGGAUUGUAAAAUUCUUUCACCGGGGACGAUAAUGAUGGUACCCGGAGAAGAAGCCCCGGCUAACUUCGUG
rnacentral:rRNA from 1 species